rnacentral:lncRNA from 1 species
UGGUGAGUGCACAGUUCCACAAUUUGAUAAAGGGAAUGCACAUAGUCCUGAAUUUCCCACAUAAGAACCUUUGUCAAAUGUCCCAAAUUGCGAGCCUUGUGGUAUGUGACCACUGAGGAGGUUGUAGGACACGUUGAAGAAUUCAAGGGAAGUGAGCUGCGAUGCUAAUUGCUGAGGGAUGACCCCUGUGAGCUUGUUUUGCGAAAGGUCCAACGAUUCAAGCUUCGUAAGGUUUGCCAAGGAUUGGGGAAUGGGACCAGUGAGCUCAUUGUUUGACAGGUUGAGUAACUCAAGCUCCUUCAGACUUCCAAGAGAUUCUGGAAUCUCACCUGUGAAAUUGUUACUUGAGAGAUCGAUAGCAGUGAGAAUAUUUAAAAUCUGCUUGUACUCCGUUUCUACACCCUUAUUCACAAGAGUUAUGGAGCUCUGCUGUUGUUGGUAAUGCCAACUGCGAGUCUGUGUGUUAAACUCUACAUCAAUCCUUAUAUAUAGUUCCGUGUCUGGACUAUGCAUUUUCAUAGCAUUCCAUAUCUUGAUAUACUCCACAGGCAAAACACCCGUCAAAGAGUUGUGAGAGACAUCAAUAAUCCGUAACAUUGGGAACUCUAAAGGACUUCUGGGGCUUCCAAGUGCACCAUGAAAUUUGUUGGAAUGCAGAAAAAGAACCUGCAAUUGAGGAAGAGUCCCCAACCAGGCGGGGAAAGUCUGUUCAAUCUGAUUAUCUGAUAGAUCUAAAAUCUCAAGCAUUUUACAACUCAUCAAAGAUUUUGGUACUUCUCCUUUAAGCUGGUUUUGACUCAAGUCAAUUUCCUUCAAAUUGCAAUCUUCUGAAUACAAUUGAGGAAUAGUUCCAGAAAAAUUGUUGCUUUGGAGAUUAAGAGAUGCCAAUGAAUUGCUCAAACAUCGAGGAAUAGGCCCACUCAUGUUGUUAUACGACAAGUCAAGUAUUGUAAGGGACAUGCCACUACAGAUCAAGGGUGGAAUAUCUCCGGUUAGCCUGUUGUUAGACACCCUGUACUCAAUUGUAUUUGGUGGUGGAACUGGGAGAUUCCCUUGCAACAUAUUAUUUCCUAUGUCAAUGACUUCUAGACUCUUACUUGAGAAAACAGUCAGAUUAUGUUCAAUAGAUGUAAGGAAGUUGGAAGAAAGGUCAACUGCCCCUAGAUGAUCACUAACAUUCCAUAUCCAGUGUGGAAUUUUCCCAUGAAUACUGUUUGCACUCAGGAAUAAAAUCUCCAAAUUAUUUUGUAACUUCAAAAAAUAGGGGAUCUUUCUCAAGUUACAGCCAUCCAAUUGUAAUUCUCUAAGAGUUGGAAUGGUAAAGUUAAUGUGAUGGUGGGUAAUGAAGGUUAUAUUGUUGGAAGAUAGACUGAGAGACUCAAGCUUUUUAUGACUGAAAAAAAUAUCAGCCUCUACUGUUCCAAUAAGAUUAUUUCUACUCAGAUCAAGAAAUUCAAGGUUUUCGAGUUGAGAGAAUGAGCUCAAUAUUGGGCCUGUUAGUUCAUUAUUGGACAAAUCUAACUCAAUUAAGUGGGUCAUGUUCGUUAGGCACACUGGUAUUUCACCCGCAAAGUAAUUGGAAUCAAGAUAAAGAUGGGUAAGUUGGGUAUUGUUUGCAAGAGAUGAUGGGAUGUCACCAUGUAUAUUGCAAGAUUCAAGGUUCAAGUAAGUAAGUUUGGUUAAGUUGUCGAGCCAGGAAAAACUUGUAGAUUUACUGAAUUUGUUAGAGGAAAGUUAUAGAUGAGUGAGUUGGGUCAAGUUAGCAAUAGAGGUCGGAAUUGACCCUGAAAAGUUGCAGGCUCCGAGUUUCAAUUUAGUAAGUGACUGCAAAUUUCCGACUGAGAUUGGCAGGUUACCGGAGAAAUUUGUGAAGCUAAGUCUCAAUUCCUUGAAGGAGCUUGUUCGGUUAAACUCUGGCAAAACACCGGUUAGAUUGUCGUUGUCUCCCACAUCAAGAACAAGCAUGUGGGGAAAAUGGAAAAUAUCAACGGGAAAGAUACCAGAGAAGUCGUUUUCAUUCAGAUCAAGGUAAGUCAAUUUGAACAAUUUUGACAGCUCGGUUGUGAUUGCGCCAGCAAAAACAGAGAAUGAGAGGUCAAGGCGAGAUAAACUUGAAAGAUGAGAAAUUUCAUGUGGGAUUGUGGAGCGCCGAAAGUUAUUGUCAGCCAAGUUUAGGGUCUGAAGGUGAACAAGGGUAAAGAUAUUGGAGCCAAGAGUGCCAUAGAGGUAGGCGCUGUUGAGGUGAAGGCCAAUGAUAUAACCAGUUUUUUCAUCGCAUUCGACCCCAUGCCACGAGCAGCAAUCAGUACCAUUUUCUCCCCGAGCCUUCCAAGAUUCAGUCUUUGAGUAAGCAGACGAAUCAUAAGAGGCGGACUCAUUAAGUGAAGGGCUUUGCUUAAAGUGUAACAAAACAGAUCUCUCAUGAUCGUGGCACAACAUAGCAGCAGGGGGCAUUAUGGUAUGCACCCUAGCAAUAACAUGAAGAGAGUAUAGAAGAAACAAGAAUAUGAAGUUUUUAAGACCGUCUCCAACCCAUAACACCAUUUUGGUGUGAAAAAUACACCAAUUUGGUGUGAAAACUACACCAAAUCAAAAUUUCACUCCAACCCAUCAACACCAUAUCCUAUACCAAAAAGAAUCUUUUACACAUUAAAUGGAAUAUUCACUCUUUUUAAGGUAUUUAUAUCAUUAUUGAAUUUGUACUUAAAUUUUAACAUGUUCAAUAAACAAGGACCUAAAAUAAUUAUAAAUUCAUUAAUAAAUUCAUUAAUAAAUUCAAGAGGACAACUUAAUUAUAUGAAUUCCCAUGCUCUUCCCAUAUGUGCUCGAUCAAGGCAUUGCGAAGUUCAAAAUGAGCUUCCUUAUCUUUAAUUUGUCGAUAUCUACUAAGAAAAUCUUGAAAUUCGUCAUCUCCAUUUCUUUCCAUUUCGACAGCGGCAGAAGAUGUUUCCACGUAAUCAUGUACAUGUCUCGUUCAUCCUCAACUAUCAAGUUGUGCAUGAUAAUACAUAUGUGAGGGUAUACAUAUGUGAGGUAAUUUUAAUCAUUGUGUAUUCCAUUUUUAAUCAAAUCUAUUUAAAAAACAUAUCUUCUAUAUAAGAAUAUAAAUUUAUUGAUAUUUGGAAAUAAAUAAAAAACUUGAGUAAAAUAGUAAAGAAAGAAAAUUUAAAACAAUUAUGAUUAAAGAAUAAAUAAUAUAACAUAAAACAACUUUAAUGGGACAUAGAUGGAAUAAUUUUGUUUUCAUUAACAUAUGUGAGGGUAUAGUAGGUAUUUUGGAAAACUCCAAAUUUGGUGUAAAAGUUGCACCAAAUCAAUACUUGACACCAAAUUUGGUGUCAACCAAUUCAUUUGGUGUCAACUUUACACCAAUUUGGUGUUGGGUUGGAGUGAAUUUGACACCAAAUUUGACACCAAAAUGGUGUCUUGGUGUUGGGUUGGAGUUGCCCUAAAGCUGUACGACGCCAUCGCAUAUAUGUAAAACUCUUCGACUUCUGGAAUUUAGAGUCGUUGGAUAGCUUUAUAUAUAUCACGCUAGUGUUAUAAAAAAAAACUGGGUAAUCUAAUUCACCUAGUCUUCCACUGAACAAGUUGAAUACCUUUUUUAAUUGCGUAUGAAGCAUUUUUCUUAACUUCUUCCAAGUAGUGGAGGACUUGUCAAAAUUCUAAUUCAGUUUUUCUAAUUAUGCUUCCUAGAUAAAUCGCAAUUCGAAUUCACUGAUCAUUCAAUUUGAAUAUUUUUCUUCAUCAAAACUCACAUGAGGAUUAGAUAAAUAUAAAAAGUUGUCAGGUAUUCGAAUUCACUGCGCUUUAGAUUUGAAUACUUUUCUUGAUAAAAAUAGUGUGUUUCCGGUCUAAGGACUGGAUUAAGAGGUUUGUUGUGAUUAGAAUUUAUUGGAUCUUUAACUAAACUAGUUGAAUACUUUUCUUCAUAAAAAAUAUAGUGUUUAGAUCGGAUUAAGGACUUGCAUGUUUAGAUCGGAUUAAGGACUUGCCGCAAUUCAAAUUCAGCCAGCCUUCCACAAACAGCUGAAAUACUUUCCUAAAUAAAAAAAUAUUGUGUUUUGGAAAGUACCAUGCAAGGAAAAUAAGUUAUUCAAUAAAAUUAUGUUUUCAUAUUUUUUAAAAACUAGCUUAUAACCCCUCCCAAGCACGAGUUUAAAUAAUUUUUAAUUUAUUAUAAUUAUAAUAUUUUUUUUAUUUGAUUGCAUUAUCAUAUUCUCAAUAUACUUAUAUACAUUAUCUUUAUUUAUAUAUAAUACUUUCUAGACUUUUAAUCCUAUUUUAAUUUAAUUAUUUAUAAAAAAAUAUUUUCAAAUAUAUGUUAUGAUAUGAAUUUGUUUCGAAAAUAAUAUAUUUUAUUUUAGUAAAAUCAUCGUGUUGUUUACUAUUUCUUAAGAGAUGAAACAAUAUUUUGCAAUUGCCUUAUAGGUUCCUUAAAUUUUUACUAAAAUUUAAAUUUAUAGUUGGUUUAAAAGUAAUUAAUAUAUAAAUCUAACAGGAUUUUUAAGUUAGAUAACUUGAAUUUAUAAUUAAAUCGAAACCACGUGACAAUUGAUUAUUAGUGAUAUUAGUGAUAGUGACAUCGUUAGGGCGGAUCAUAAAAGGGGCUGGGGUUGGCCCUAAGGUGAAAUUUCAGUCGACCCAUUCAUAUUUGUAUAUGUGUUAAAGUUCAUCCCGAUGAAAAAAAAUAAAAGCCAUAUUGACUAGCCAAAUUCAUAAAUUGUCUUUACUUCUUUAACACGGUUCUCUACCUUACUUUUAAUGAACAAAAAAUAUAGGUUAAACAUUUAAAAUAGGUUAGACACUUAAAAGUACGUGAUUCUUUUAAAUUGUUAUUGGACAGACUUGUGUAAUACAAAAUUAUACAUGUUUUCAUCUUUUGUAAAUGUAAAAUUUUAAGAUGUUUUUUAAAUAUGUGAUUUAUGUAUGCUCUAUAGAAUUAUAGAGUUUUUAUAUUUUUUUUAGACUUAAUAUUGAUUUCUCUUUUCCAAUUUAUUUAUAGAUUUCUAAUAGCUAAUCGUCUCAUUAUGUUUUAAUCCUGAUUUAUGGUAAUACAUAUGUACGUGUAUGGGUAUAUGCCAUUGUUUUAAGGAGUAAACUUCAGAGUUGUGGCCAAAGUUUGCACCGGUUUUCAAAAAAUUGGCCAGAGUUUCAAAUUCUCAAAGAUGGCCAAAUUUUGGCUCCACUUUUUAAAGUGUGGCUCCCGUUAAAUGUCCCUAACGAAAGCCUAACGGGAGUCACAUUUUUGAAAAGCGGGCCAAAAUUUGGCCACUUUUCUCAGAAUUUAGAACUUAUUUUUACCCUUCUGUCCGUUCCAAAUUCUCAGAAAAGUGACCAAACUUUGGUCCCCUUUUCAAAUAUUUGGCUCCCGUUAGGCUUCCGUUAGUUACAUUUAACGGCAGCCACAUUUUUAAAAAGGGAGUCAAAAUUUGGCCACGUUUCUAGAAAUUUGAAACUCUGACCAACUUUUUGAAAAUCCACGUAAACUUUGGUCACAACUUUGAAGUUUACUCUUGUUUUAAGGUUUUUCCUAUUGUAAAUAGAACAUUAUUAAUGUGCAAAUGUAUACCAACGAAAAAAGACUCUGGUUUGCCCUUGUUUAAUUCCUAUUACGUAUCUAGACUGAAAUUAUUAAUUCGAGGAAAGCUAAUAUAUUGAAGGAAACCCUCAAGACACAAGAGCCUGAAUAUAUGGUUCAUACCAUACUUGGCUUCAUUUUAUAUUUUAUUACAAGCAGAGCCGACUCUGGUACCAAGCUGCAUAUACUAAUGAAUGUGGUACCAAAAAAAUUGAAUGUUCUGGGGGCACAAUUUUUUUCUUACAAAGAAUAAAAGUGAUUGAAAAUAUAUGAAGAUGCACGAUAGAAGAUAAAAUUUAGAGGACAUCGGAUAGGAAUCUAGUUCCAGAUAUAUACUAUAGAAGAUUCAUGAAUAAAUUUGCUACUGAAAUUGCUAGAAGAAGAGUAAGAGUUCCGAAAAAUGAACUGUGUAUGCAUUUGAUUUUGAUAUAUAGUGCAACAAAUUUUAAAUUCGCUCGAGACAUCCAAUUUUUCAGGGCCGGGCCUGGUUAUAAGUGAGGGUGCCGGAGAAUAUCAUAUACUUUACACUUUACAUACAACUACAAGCUCAGACAUCUGAAACGGCAGCUAAAACUUUUCACGGUGUUUGCAUUACUGCUGAACUUUAAAUUGUAAAAGCAGUAGACACAGUGCAGAAAUAAACUUUAGGUGCAGUACUAACACAUACUUCCAACAAGAUACCUGCAUAAAACUAUAUAAACUAUGAUAUAAACAAUAACGAUUUUCCUAGUGUCUUCUAUGUGGACAUGCUAAGCACUAUAUUUUAUACGUAUAACUUAUUUUGAUUGACUCAUACCCCUGCAUAUACAAAAACUAAACCAAUCAAAAUAAGCUAAAUGUAUAGAAUUUAGUGCUUAGCAUGUGACCAUGUGCACACAGCAGACAACUCAAACAAUAAUAUGCACUAUUAUUACAACUAACAAGAGACUGGAAACUCACAUUUUUGGGGCAAACAACUGUUAACCUGCAACAUUCUGAUCCUCAUCACUAUCUCCGAAUGAUCGAUCUCUUCGCCCUCCGCUGCUUCUUUUCUCUGCAUGCAAAGCUCUGGGCAAUCGAACUUAUCAGCCAUGGGUAUCCAUCCGUUAGAAUGUUUCCCAUUACAUAUCCCACCACCAGUCCACUUCCGACUCCUGCUAAUAUGAACAUCCAAUCAAAACCACUCGGAAACUCAUAUGUAUCAUCAGAAUCACCCUCGUCGCCAUCGGCUGGUGGUGAGUGCACAGUUCCACAAUUCUUAGAUAUAGGAAAUCCAAAGAGUCCUGAAUUUCCUACAUAAGAAUUGUUGUCAAAUGUCCCAAAUUGCGAGCCUUGUGGUAUGUGACCACUGAGGAGGUUGUAGGACACGUUGAAGAAUUCAAGGGAAGUGAGCUGCGAUGCUAAUUGCUGAGGGAUGACCCCUGUGAGCUUGUUUUGCGAAAGGUCCAACGAUUCAAGCUUCGUAAGGUUUGCCAAGGAUCGGGGAAUGGGACCAGUGAGCUCAUUGUUUGACAGGUUGAGCAACUCAAGCUCCUUCAGAGUUCCAAGAGAUUCUGGAAUCUCACCUGUGAAAUUGUUACUUGAGAGAUCGAUAGCAGUGAGAAUAUUUAAAAUCUGCUUGUACUCCGUUUCUACACCC